rnacentral:rRNA from 1 species
AAUAUUUCACAAUGGGGGAAACCCUGAUGCAGCGACGCCGCGUGAGCGAAGAAGGCCUUCGGGCCGUAAAGCUCUGUCCUAAGGGAAGAAACGGACGGUACCUUAGGAGGAAGCCCCGGCUACCUCGGUGCCAGCCGCCGCGGUAAUACGUAGGAGGCGAGCGUUAUCCGGAAUUACUGGGCGUAAAGGGUGCGUAGGAGGCCUUUUAAGUCAGAUGUGAAAGGCUACGACUUAACCGUAGUUAGCAUUUGAAACUAAAAGGCUUGAGUGCAGGAGAGGAGAGUGGAAUUCCUAGUGUAGCGGUGAAAUGCGUAGAUAUUAGGAGGAACACCAGUGGCGAAGGCGACUCUCUGGACUACAACUGACGCUGAGGCACGAAAGCGUGGGGAGCGAAC